rnacentral:rRNA from 1 species
CCUACGGGUGGCAGCAGUGAGGAAUAUUGGUCAAUGGCCGGAAGGCUGAACCAGCCAAGCCGCGUGAAGGACGAAGGUGCCAAGCAUUGUAAACUUCUUUUGUCAAGGGACAAAAUCAGGCUCGAGAGCCUGACCGUGGGUACUUGAAGAAAAAGCAUCGGCGAACUCCGUGCCCGCAGCCGCGGUAAUACGGAGGAUGCGAGCGUUAUCCGGAUUUAUUGGGUUUAAAGGGUGCGUGGGCGGUCUGUUAAGUCAGCGGUAAAAGCCCGGGGCUCAACCCCGGCCAGCCGUUGAAACUGGCUGUCUUGAGAUGUCGAGAGGUAUGCGGAAUGCGCAGUGUAGCGGUGAAAUGCUUAGAUAUUGCGCAGAACUCCGAUUGCGAAGGCAGCAUACCGGCGGCGAUCUGACGCUGAGGCACGAAAGCGUGGGUAUCGAACAGGAUUAGAUACCCGGGUAGUC